AGACUGUAGUCCGGGCCUCAGGAAACCUCUCAAGAUGUGGAUGCAGUCCCCACCAUGUGUCCUAAUUGUCUUGCUCUGGUGACCCUCGUUACCUCUCUGCCUCUUCACUUAGAUUCUUCAGAAGCUCCUAAAACAGAUCCGUGUUACUGCUCUGUUUCACAAAUUCAUUGCCAAGCCCUACAGAGGAAUGAACAAAAGGUAUAA
rnacentral:lncRNA from 1 species